CCAUGGUGAAGAGAGCUGAAAGGCAACUGGAGACCUGCAGGCACCUAAAGGCAAGAGAUCAAGGAAGAGGAACACGAUAAAAUGCUUAUGGCUCCAAGAAGAAAUAGGGUGAGAGAUAGGACCACAAAUUGUUUACUCAUUUCAACCAGUAAACAUGUCCUGCAAUGUCAAUCUGUCUUUCUGCCACAGCAGUUCUGCGCCUCCUGAGUUGUUUCCAUCUCCCUCCAGUCAUUCAGGACCACCAAUGAGAUUUGUGAUAUUUGGAAAACUGCCACCCAGUGCCUCCUUUUCCUAAUCUGCUGAAUAAAGUUAAUAAGACUA
rnacentral:lncRNA from 1 species